rnacentral:lncRNA from 1 species
UGUAGUUCCUGUAAUUCCCAUAUAUCGUGGGAGGGACCAGGCGGAGACAAUUAAAAUAUGGGGGCAGUUUCCCCAUCCUGUUCUCAUGAUAGUGAGUCAGAUCUCACAAGAGCUGAUGGUUUUAUAAGGGGCUUCCCCCUUUGCUGGGCACUCAUUCUUCUCUUCCCUGCCACCAUGUGAAGAAGGAUGUGUUUGCUUCCCCUUCUACCAUGAUCAUAAGUUUCCUGAGGCUUCCUCAGCUGGGCUAAACUAUAAUUGGGAGAUUUCAUUGGGAUGAACAAAAAGGAAAGAAGCUUCUGAUGCGUUGGCAUCCACUGUCUUUCAAUUAAACCAUUCAGCGAGAGGCCAAGGCCUACCCCAUCCUGUGCAGUCAGGAAUGGCUGGAGCAUCGUCGGAAACCGUGGGCGCUGGGCCAGGGAUGCCGGGGAAUGACAUCAUUUCAUUGUGUUCGCAUGACCAUGGAAGGCCUGUGUUACACACACCGGAUGAAGUCACCAGAAUGCUAGGGAACAGAGAAAGCCAGGGGUAAGAAUAAAGAAACCCUUGGCAAAGGCUUGGGAGACAGGAAGGUUGAAAAGAGGGGCAGAGAGGAGUCUGUGUUUAUUGUCAGUGGUCUGGCAUUCUGGGUUUGAAAAUAACAUCUGCUUCACUCGCUGCCUUCCCUCCACCUACCCACGGGCUCUGGGACCCAGGAACCUCGACGGAGCAGAAACCCGUAGGCGCCAUCGCUGGGAUAUUUGCCAGUUACAGCUCAUUUUUCUCCAUGUCAGGAUACAAAAAAGAGAAUGGAAGAAGGGAGCUUGAUACACAUAUAUCUUAAAACUCUUAUUUUGUCAAAAAAAUGUACAGUUUUAGCAGCGGCACUUUUUUAAAAAAGAAAUGUUAUUUUUCUCACAAUCCUUCUUAUAUUCCUGGAAAUAUUUUCUAUAUUCCUCAAAAGGCAAAUAUUUACUUAACUCAGGUUUUAUAAACUGGAAAUAGAUUGCCUAAUAAUGAAGAAAAUAAGAAUAUACAAAUGUAUGAAUAUGAAAUAUAUAUGAGAUAUUCAUAUCUAUAUGGAAGAAGACCAAAAGUGUAUUAAUAAUGAAGCAAAUAAGGAUGUACAUACAUAUAUAUAUGGAAACAAAAAGUAGAUUAAUUUUGCAGAGUAUAAUUUUACCCUUACAUACUCCAGUGUGUAUUAUGCAACAAUAGGAAAAUCUUUUUCCAUAACCACAGUGGAGUUCUCCACUUGAGUCACUUUCACGUUGAUACAGCACAGUAUCUGAUCCACAUCUGUAUUCCAUUUUGCAGUUGCCCGAUAACGUCCUUUAUAACUUCUGUUCCCUCCAGGACAGGAUCCAGCCUAGAGUCAGAUACUGCAUUUAGUUGUCACGCAUCUUCAGUCUCCUUUUAUCUAGAACAUUUCCUCAGCCUUUUUCUUUUACAACGUUGAAACUGUUGAAGAAUAUCGUGCCCCUCCCCUUUUGUUAGUAGGCAGGUCCUCACUUUGGGUUUGUCUGUUGCUUCAUCGUGAUUGGAUUCAGGGAGUGCAUUCUUAGCUGAAACACUGCAGAGGUGACGGUGCGUCCGGGGAGUUACACCUGGAAGCACGCAGUGCUCCUCUCUUCCUCAUCUAUGGUGUUAAUUUUGAUCGCUCAACCAAGGUGUUGUCCAAUUUCUCCACCUCAUUAUUUUUUGAACUGAACAAGCAGAUUGUGAGGAGAUAUUUUGAGCUCCUCGUCAAAAUUUCCUCUUAAAUUUGCCAUCCACUGAUGAUUCUUGUCUGAUCCAAUUUUUAUUCUAACACACGCAAAACUCCAGCACUGUCUCCACAUUUCCCACAUGGCCUGCCACUGUGAGGAAGACCUCGCCCUUCUCCCUUAUUUGUUUAUUUGUUUACCCACUUAUUUAUCUAUUACUGGAUUGCUCUUGUGAUCUUGGUGCUCAAAUGCGCAUACGGUGCUGAAAUAAAUUUAUAGUAACUUUGUGCUUUAGUUUUUAAAAAUAAUUAAAUUACAUAUGUGCACAUAUAUACAUAUCCACAUAAAGUGUGUGUGCAUGCACAUGCAUGCGUGUGUGUGCAUGCACAUGCAUGCAUGUGUGUGUGCAUCAACCUAAGGGCCACAAAGCAACACAAAAAGAAAUUCAUAUCAUGUGACCCACAUGCUUAAAAAAUUAUUAAUAACUCACUGGGUCUUAUAAAUGGCAUUCUACCAAUUUUGAAAAUGUAUGUUGGCAUAAGCAAAACACAUUGAGAUUAUUACCAACCUAAACAAUCCCUAGUCUGCACAAAAUACAAAGAACUGUGGUAAAAUGAAAUGGCGACUAGUCCAUCUUCCACUGUGGGCCAUGGAGGACGCUUCUGGGAAAGACAUUAAAAUCUCCAUAAUUAUUAUUUAACAUGUAUUCGGCACCAUAAACGUACACAGAGAAGUGUGAUAAAUGAAGCUGUGCCCCAUCAGUAACAGUGUCUGCCCUGAGGAGUUGAGAGCCUGGAAAGAUGGCAUUCAUACGCCUAAUUGGGCAGUCCUGCACCCUAGGGAGAAAUAUCUUCUUGAAAGGAUAUGUUGCUUUCAUGAUACAUUUAGGAGCCUAUAGGUGAAUUAUAUAAAUUACUCCUUUUAUAAAUUACUCUUCAACAUGAUUAUUGAAAUAGCAUAAAUAAAAAAGAAAUUUACCAACACAGCCUAGUGAGAAAGGUAAUCUGUGUUAUCAAGUAACCCUCAGAGGUUUAAAACUGCCAAACUGAACCCCUUCGCCUGCUCCUGUACCCCAAGGGCAGGCUGAGUUAACAAACCCUGUUGAUUUAUGUAUCCAGCUGCAGAGAGGCCAAAUCUCUGCUUUCCCCUGUGCUCCACAUUAAUGAACAGGGAUGGAGCAGUGAGAUGAAAAUCAGGAAUUGGAAGCACACCAGUGACUGAGUAAACUUAGGUGAAUGUGCGACCCUUCCUGAGCCUGUCUCUGAAACACUACCAGUAGCCCUCAGCCCCUCUCUGUAUCAAAACUUGAUUUAUGUGAAUAGCUCAAGUCUGCCUUUUCUAUAUAAUUUGAAAAGCAUGCGUACUUAAUAAAGUUUUGGGAAUUUCAUUCGGAACAUCAUCCCAAAACUUUGGUAACGCUUGGCUUUUACCCCAUUUACUUUAAUAUAAGGAAGAGAACCGCUUAAUACUAAGAACCACUUAAUAAUAAUCUCUUUCCAUAGUACCUAUUUUCAGUAAAACAAACAAAAUAAAAAACAGAAACGCUGUCAUAUAAACUUCCUAUUUCUCUCACUUUUUAACAUAUUCAAGAUAAAGCUAGACACUCUGGAGAUGCCUAAUAACACUCGAUUUGGGAUAUCCGCCAAGAUGUGCAGCCUUAGAGGGCCAGCUUUACUUUUAACAUUUGCACGAUGCCUCCCUUGGGAAAUUUUUCACCUCUCACAGCCCUCUCCUUGGCCUACCCUCUCUCUCAAACCUGACAUCAUCCUCACUCCAAACUUUUAACAGCUUGGAAUUUUGUUUGGGGAAAGAAGAAGAGCUGAACGUCUCUGCCUUGACUUAAGCAGGAAUUUGGAGUUUGUAGGCGUUUACCCUUUUAACAGUGAAGCACCAGCAAGCACCAAAAUCUACAGUAUUUCCUUCUAUAUGAACCAUUUUUUAGGGAAGCCAACCUCCUUCAAUUUGUUUUCUUUAAAGGAAAGGGAAGUAACAAAAAGACAUAUUAUCCCAAUCUGUGGUAAAAAAUACACAGGGACAUUGGCUUUCAUGUUUCUGGACUUCUCAGUUCUCUCUUAUUCUAACUUUAUCCUUGGAUAUGGGACAUGCUGUUGAAUCUCUUAAGGAAGUGUGUCAGGAGAAAACUCAGAGAGGGUCAUGGAGGUACCCCUGGCCCUAACCAAGCUACAAGAACUGUUUCCUUUUAUCUUCUAAAUCUUUCUUACUUUAAAAAGAAGGAUUAAAAACUCUCUCUUCACUUGGUUUUCCAGCAAGAAAACUUUUUCUCCUAUAAAACAAAUAAACUUCCUACUACUUUUUCCAUUAUACCUAUUGGCUUUAUAUCAUAUGUAUCGUGUACAUAUGUAUCAUAUAUAUCAUGUAAAACAUGAUGUUUUGAAACAUAUACAUUGUGGAGUGACUAAAUCUACAUAAUUAACAUCCAUUACCUCACAUAAUUAUGACUUUCGUGAUAAGAACAUUUUACAUCUACUCUCUUAGCAUUGUUCAAGAACACAAUAUAUUACUAUUAACUAUAGUCACCAUGUUGUAUAGAUCUCCUGAACUGAUUCCUUCUGUCUAACUAAGCUUUUGUACCCUCUGACCGACAUCUCCGUGACAUCCCCUACAAAUCACCCCAACCUCUGGUAACCAGCAUUAUACUCUCUGCUUCUAUAAAUUCAACCUUUUCAGAUUUCACAUAUGAAUGAGAUCAUAUGGCAUUUAUCUUUCUGUGCUUGACUUACUUCACUUAACAUAAUAUCCGUCAGCUUUAUUUACGUUGUCACAAAUGACAGAAUUUCCUUCUCUUUCAAGGCUGAAUAGUAUUUCCUUGUGCAUAUAUAAGAAAAUACAGAAAAUGUUUUCCUAUAUUUAAGCAAAAAUACAUGUAAGAAUAUAUGAAUAUAUGUAAGAAAGUGUAGCACAUUUUUUUUAACCGUUUCUCUAUUGAUGGACACUUAGGUUGAUUCCAUAUCUUGGCUAUUGUGACUAGUGCUGCAAUGAACAUAGGAAUGCCGACAUCUCUUCCACAUACUGACUUCAUUCCCUUUGGCUCUACACCCAGUAGUGUCAUUGCUGGAUCACAGGUGGUUCUGUUGUCCAUAAUGGCUGUUCUAAUUUGUAUUCCCACCAACAAUGCACAAGGGUUCCCUUUUCUCAUAUUCUCACCUACACUUGUUAUCUUUUGUCUUCUUGAUAAUAGCCAUCCUAACAGGUGUAAAGUGAUAUCUCACUGAGUUUUUAAAUUUGUGUUUCCCUGAUGAUUAGUGAUGCUGAGGACUUUUUCAUAUACCUGUUAGCCAUUUGCAUGUCCUUUUUGGAGAAAUGUCUAUUCAGGUCCUUUGCUCAUGUUUUUGUUGGGCUAUUUUUUUCUGUCUUUUCAGUUGAGUUCCUUGUAUGUUUUGGAUCUUAACGCUUUGUCAGAUGUAGAGUUUAAAAAUAUUUUCUCCCAUCCCAUGCAUGGGCUGUCUCUUUGGUCUGUUAAUUGUUUCCCUUGCUAUGCAGAAGAUUUUUAGUUUGAUAUAAUUCCACUUGUCUAUUUUUGCUUUUGUUGCCUGUGUUUUUGGGGUCAUAUCCAAAAGAGUAUUGCCCAGACUAAUGUCAGGGAGUGUCUCCCCAUGUUUUCUUCUGGUAGCUUCAUAGUUUUAGGUCUUGCAUUUAAGGUUUUCACACAUUUUGAGUUGAUUUUUGCAUAUGGUAUGUGAUAAGGGUCUCAUUUCAUUCUUCUAUUAUGGAUAUCCAUUUUUCUCAACACCAUUUAUUGAAGAGACUAUCCUUUUCUCAUUGCAUGUUCUUGGCUCCUUUGUGCUUUGUAGUAUAUUUUUAAAGAUGGUGGUGCAGUGCCUACAGCUUUGUUCUUAUUUUUCAGGAUGGCUUUGGCUAUUCAGGGUCUUUUGUAGUUUCAUACAAAUUUUAGGAGUGUUUUUUCUACUUCUGUGAAGCCUAUUUGCUUAGAAUAUUUCUUCUCAUCAAACAGCAUCAUUAAGUGCUUAGUGGAUACUGUUAGAAAAAUCCUUCAAUUAUGAAAAUCACCAUGUAUACAUGGCUGUUUAAAAAGCAUAAUUUAUGUGCAUUUAUAGAACAAAAUCCAAAAAGAAAUAAUUGAAAGAACAGUUGUUUUUACCUUCUCCCACACAUAAACUCAACCCCUUAGGAAAUAUUAGCAUAGAACAACUUUUCUUGGAAUCUAGAGUUUAAGGCUCUUCAAUAAUUUUAAAAGAAACAAAAUAUAUAUCAGAAAUAUAAAAUAUGAUAACUGGGAACUUUAUAGGCUAUAGUUUCUAGUCCUUAAGUAAUAAAAUAUUAUAGUGAGUAUAAGAAUGAAAAUAAAUAUCUCAAUGAAAAAUUUCAAGCCAAUAUUCAAAAUAUAUCACUUAUGACUAUUUUAUAUUUAAAUGCCCAUGAUAUUCUAAAUUUUUUUAUUAAAAUGUUAAGUUGGAGCUGCAUUUCUAGCAGACAAGAUACCGUGGGUGACCCUGCCUUCUUUAUUGAGACAACUAAAAUGCUGGAAGAGAGAGAGAUGAGAGAUAGACGGUAAUAUUGCACCGCAUUUUUGAGUUGGCACAGAAGGAAUCUCAGAGGUCCAAAUGAAAAUGAAAGCAGGAACCUGGGAAAUAAGCAAGAACUGCCAGAACAAAAGUUGCCUUUUGUCUGGGGAUUUCAUCCAAGCCUUAGAGGCCUUGAGCUUCUGCUUUGAUGUGAAACCAGAGAUAAAAUCUAGGCCUGCCCAACAUGAGGAAUCUCACAGGAUGCCUUCCCAUAUAAAGCUGGGAUAGAGAAUGAAUAAAGCCACUCUUCAAAAGGGAAUUGAUGGCCUCAGGUUUGGCACUGUUUGCAUGCGGGGAAUAUGUGUAGCCCAAAGUCUGGUAGAGCACCAGGCAACUAGCAGAAGCAGAUCAGAAUUGUCCCCAGUUCAGGGGACCCAGGAAUAAAAAUAUUCCUGCAUGAAAUCCCAAAGAAAAUGAGUAGUUGACAAUUAAACAAGCAUAAAACACAGAAGGAAACAAACACAGCAUGCAUGAGUGCCAGUCAUAACAGGAGAUAGCAGAAGGAAGUCCGUAAGGGUUACAAAACAGCAAUGAUCAGAAUACACAUGUAUUACAUUUCACAUGUUUAAGCAAAGAAAAGCCUAGAAAUAGUAGAAAGUAGAACGAGUUUACUUAGAAACAUGAAAAUUUGAAAAAGAAUGACAUCAUAAUUUUAUCUUCUACAAAUGAUAUGAAAAUAAGUUAAUGAAUUAAACAUCAGGUUGGAGAAAGUUAAGGAAAAAAUUAGCGAAUUGGCAAACAGAGCUGAAGAAGUCAUCCAGAAUGCAGCACAGAUGAAAAAGAGAGGAGAAAUACGAUAGAGAGAUUGUGCCACCGAAAGAAAGUGGAACACUUUAACAUUUGUCUAACUAUAGUUCCAGAAGGAGAAAAUAAAUAUAAAGGAUAAGAAUCAAUGUUCAAAGGACAGUGAUAAUGGCUGGACAUUUUCCAGAAUUGCUGAAAUGUACCAAUUCUUACAGCCAAGGAGCCCAAUGUCAAUCAACAUUCAUGUCAAUCACAUAAAUAAAAAUCACAGCUGUGAAACUGCAGAAUAGUAAAGAACCAAGGAGGAAAGACAGAUCACCAGGAAGAAACAGGAUGAUGACUUCUCAACAGUAAAAAAGAAUCCAUAAGGCAAUGUAAUUAAUAUCUUCAAAGUGCUGAUGAAAAAUAAUAGUCAAUCGAGACUUCCAUAUCUUUCAAGAAUGACAGCAAAAUAAAGAUACAUUCAGACAAGUCAAAAUUGAGUUUGUUCCAGAAGUCUCUCACUAAAGAAAAUUCUCAAGGAUUUAUGUGAGGGAAAAGGAAAGAGACUUCAGUUGGGAUGUCUGAGAAGCAAAACAGAAUGGUCACAACCAGAAUCUAAAACACCGCUGCAGGCCAGCAGUCAUAGAGUUAUUCUGAGCAUUAAACGUGAAGAGCUGAAGUGCCCUAUAUAUAUGUGUUAGUAUGAGGAACAGAAAGGAACUUCUUAAACCUGUUAAAAGCCCUCUACAAAUCCAAAAGCAGUGUGUCAAUAGCCAAAUUCCUGUUGUUCCUAUUCAAACCUGAAACCUUCCCCAUCUCAGUGGGCCAGCUGGCAACUUCAGCCUUCCUUUGUUCAGUAAUUCUUAACUCCUCUCUGCCUCUUACAUCUGACAUUCUAACUCUCAGGAAAUCUCAUUAACUGUGUAUUCAGAAAGUAUCAAGAUCUGAGCCCCUCCAGAUCACCACGUUCAGAGUCGCAACCAUGUCUCACUUAGAGGGUUGGAGCUUCCUGGAUGGCUUCUCUGUGUCUGUGUUGGGUGGCCUUGUUCUACCUAAUGACCUAAUUUAAAAUUUGCAAUAUCUCCCCAGACCUGAGCCACCUUUCUCUGCACUGUUCCCCCAAUGACAAGCACCACCUUCUAGAAUGCUAUAUAAUAUAGUUACAUGUUAUACUGAUUGCUUAUUUUCUCUCUUCACGCCUACCUUUGUAAAAUGUAAGCUUUAUGAAGUAUGAGAUUUCUGCUGGCUUUUGUUUUGCUGGUUUUUUACUGGCAUAUGCUGAGCCAUGUCUGACUAUGUGUUGAAUGAGUGAAAAGUUACAAGUAUCUUUCAUAAGAUCAGGACCAAAAUAAGCAAAUGUAGUAAAGUACACUAACAAAAUGUUACAAUGUAAAACUGGAAUAAAAUAAACCAAAUUGUCAUUAUUUUUAGAAAAUACGAUCAUCUAUAAAGAAAUCUUAAGUAGUCAACAGAUAAAAUAUUACAAUCUCAGUAAUAAGAGAAUUUGGCAAAAUUAUGAAUACAAAAUCAAUAUACAGAGGUAUAAUUGCGUUUCUAUUCUACAACAGAGUUAUUUAAAUAAUUAAAGACACCAUUUAAAUAGAAAAGAAACAUAUAUAACCUUAGAAUUAACUUAGAAUAUUUUAAGCAUUCUAUUAAAAUAAUAUCUCACCAAAGAUGUGUAAGACAUUUAAAAGCAGAUAUUAAAGAAGAUCUAAGUAAAAUGAGAGUUACAUCAAAUUUUUGAAUUUGAACAUAUAUCAAUUCUUCAGAAACUGUUCUAUCAAUUCAGUCUAAUUCCAAUACAUUUCUCAGCUGUUUUUCACAAACAUCUAAACAUAAAAAUAUUUAGAAACAUUUAGCUAUUUCUAAAAUUUAGAAGAAAAUAUAAAUGACCAAGGAUUGCCAAAGCUCUCUUGAAGAACAAGGUAGAAGUAAUUGCCCUACUGGAUAUCAAAGCUUAUUAUAAAGUAAUGGUAAUAAAGUUAUAAAUAUUUAAGCAAGUAAUAGUAACCAAAGUGUAUUGUAAAGUGGUAGUAAUUAAAACAGUGUGACAUUAAGACCAAGGUGAACAUUCAGGGAGCCCAGAAAGAGAUCCACAUAUAUGCAGAUGAUAUAUGACAGAGCGUGCAUGGCAGAUGAGUGGGGAAAGAAUGAAGUCUAUAGUAAGUGGUAUUCAUAUGGAAAAUAUUGACAUUUCUAUUAACCUCUUCAGAAAAAAUGUAAGAAAAUCCUAUGACCUAUAAGCGAAAGGAUUUCUUAAAUAAGACCCCAAAAAACAGAAUGGAUAAUUAUACAAGAUGGAUAAUUGUAACUACAUUAAAACGAAAAAGUUUCUAUUUCUCAAAAGAUACCAUAAAGUGAAAUGGCAAGCCACACACUGAGAGACAAUAUUUUCACCACUUAAAAUGGAUGAAGGAUUAGUAUACAAAGUAUGUGUGUGUGCACACGUGUGUGUAUAUAGAUAUAGUUUACUAAUCACAAGAAAAAGACAAACAACUCGAUGGAAAAAUUGGCCCCCAAAGAGGGCUUAAAUGACAGAAAACAAAAAAAAAAGACAGAAAUAGACACAGGAAUGGCCCACAAAAAUCUGAAAUGAGGCUCAACAGCAUGGAAUAAACUUAUUUUCCAUGGGUUUCCGUUUGAUUCCAUGCCUUUCCUUAGAAAUCCAAGAUAACAUACUGAUCUCUCCACAUAUCCACAAAUUAAACACAAAUGGAAAUAUCUGUUGAGUCCCCUGUUACCUUUUUGUAUUUUUUGUAGCAUUUACUAAAACAAAGCUUUGUAUGACAUGAGAACAGUAUGUAUCAGAAAAAUGAAAAUUAAAUCCACAAUUUAAAAUCUACUUUACUACUACCAAAUUAGCAAAAAUUUAAGUCUAGUGAUAUCCAAUGUUGGUAAGGAAGUAGAACAAUGAGAACAAAUACAUGCCAGUGACAGGGGAAACUGGUGCAAAUGCAUUGAAGUACACUUUGGUAUUCCCUUGCAAAGCUGGACAUCGGAAUACCUAUAACUAAGCAAACCCCCAGAGAAAAUAUUGCUCAUGUAUACCAGGAGGUGUAUGAGGAUGUUUAGAGUAGCACCGUUCAUAAUAACAAAGAGAAGUAAUGACUUGGAAUACCUAGCCAUAGUAGCACUGACAAAUCAAUUGCAAAAUAUCUUUAAAGUGGAACGCUAAAGAGCAGUGAAAAUAAAUUAACUAAUAAAUUAACUAGAGCACUGUGGUUCAUUCUAUAUACAUAGAUUAUUAUACCAUUAGAAAAACAAAGGAAUGAUUAAUGUAAAACUCAGGAAAAUGGAUAACUCUAUAGAGAAUGCAGUCAGAAAGGGACAUAAAGGGAUCAGUAAAAUAAUAAUGGUCUAUUUUAUAUGCUGAAUGCUAACUUAGUACAAGGAAUGUUUUAACUCUACAUAAUUUACUUAUGUGCACAUUUUGUUUCUCACAGCAGCAUGGAAUAAGCUUAUUUUCCCAUGGGUUUCUGUUUGAUUCUAUGCCUUUCCUUAGAAACCCGAGAUAACAUAUCUCUGCACACAUCCACAAAUUAAAUACAAGUGGAAGUAUCUACUGAGUCCAUCUUUGGCUUUUUGUAAUUUUUGUGUAGCAUUUACUAAAGCAAAGUUUUAUGUGAUAUGAGAACAAAUGUUGGAUUCCAAUUGUAAAAACCCUAUCAGAAGCAAAAUAGGCAACUAGAGAUGAACAUGGAGCAUGAGUGGUUUUCCAAGGAAAAUGUCAGUCUUAUCGUUCUAAUUACAAGAAGCCAGUGCUACUGUGUAAAUCUGAUUUACACAAACUGGACUUCAAUUAAAAUUCCAGUUUUGCAAAUUCAGGACACUAAUUCUCAAAUGCCAAUAUAAAUAGGUUAAAAAGAUAAAAACAUGAACACACAACGUGGGCAAGCAUGUAUAAAAUACAUAAAAUGAAGAUAUGUUUUAAUGUUUACUUUAUGCAAGAAUGCUGCUCUCGUAAGUUAUAUGUGCUCCAUAAAGUAUUUAAAUUACCCGGGCAUGAUAGAGGGUACCUGUAAUCCCAGCUACUCAGGAGGCUGAGGCAAGAGAAUUGCUUGAAUCCGGGAGGCGGAGGUUUCAGUGAGCUGAGAUCACACCACUGCACUCCAGCCUGGGCAACACAGUGAGAGUCCAUCCCAGAAAAAAAAAAAAAAAAAUUACAGGGCACAAUUAACAAGUCUAUAUUUUUUAGCCAACUACAACAAUUCUGCUUCACUAUUAAUUAAUAAAAGUUACAAGUAAUUUUAGCAUUCACAAGCAGUCUCUAAAGUAACACUGGAAUUUUACAAGUCACAUAAAAUGGCACUAAUAUUAAUUCUACCAAAUAUUUUACUUGCAAAUCAAUUUACCCAUGUUCUCCUAGAGCAAGUGGCAUAAUGUAGUUGCAAAUUGUAUUACAAAUAGAUUGUCUUGAAAUGAUCACUUUCAAUUCCAUGCCCCCAACUAAACAAUCUUGAGAUGUUUGCAUUCGAUUAUUUGGAAAAUAACAAUUAUAACAUGUCCUGAGGGACCAGUAAUCUAGCAAAUUAAAUCCAGUGAAAUAUAAAUUCGUCACCAUUAUCUUUUAAUAUUGGCGAACUAGAUAAGGGGAAACAAAAGCUAUUACUAAACAGAUAAAUGAAUAAGCCCAGACAUGUUGUUAACCCUCAACUAUGAUCACCCCCAUGUGUGUGGGGCCAUUGCCCAAGCCCCCUUAUUAUUCUAAAGCAAAGAAUUAAUGAGGUUUGUAGUAAAUAGGGUCUGACCCUGAAUAAAACAAUCUUAUUUUCAGCUUCAACCUCGCAAUAUAGCGCUUCCUAAAUAUGCUUUCGGGUUCACUAAACUUUGUUAUCCUUGCUCAGACUAAAGUGACUCAGGAGGCAGAGGGAAAUGGCUUGAUUCUCUAAACUGUGAAAUCAAAGUAAAGUCUUUGUCAUCUCAGGAGCUCAUGCUUCCAGUGUCUCCUCUCCAAGCCUGUGCCAAGGUAAACGGGCAAGUAAGUAUGUUAUGCAGCCACAAACCAAACAAACUAAUCCAAAUUUCUGGAACGUACCAAAUCUAGAUUAUUUUGAGAUUAUCUCAUAGAACCAUGGGUCAACAUCACCUGACUGAUGAAAGUAAGGAGUAUUCUGAAUGUCAGGCACCCCAGAAGCGAUCUAAUGUGGGGCAGGAAAUCAGCAGGCAUGCCAGGAGAAAGUCGGCCUCCUACCGUAACGCAGGCAGGGAGGGAGGGGUAUUUAAGCUGAACCUGAGGCCAGCAGGGCAUGGGAUGGUUCUGUCGUGCAGGAGGACUUCCUUGGCUGUCGCAUGACAAGCCACAAGCUGGCAGCAGAACAAAGCACCAUCCUCUCUACAGGAAAGCAACAACGGUGUUGCCUAAGAAGGGUCCCAUUCCUGGGGCCACCAGCAUCCCAGGUAAAGGUGCCUGGUAAAUUCAGGGGGAGCAUAAGAAACGCAGGAUGAGCUCUGGAAAACAGACCGUCAGUGGCAAGCCCGUGGCUCAUAUGGAAGUAUCAGCAAGGCUUGCCAGCCAUGUUUCCACACCCAAGAAAGUGACCAUCAUCAACAGUAAAGGCCACAGCUUGACAUCAAGACAAGGUGGCUGAAGGUGGGCUGAGCAAAACUGUUGAAAAUGUGAUUGGGAGGGAGCACUGCUUAUUCCCUGGAACUCUCAGGAACACGUAAGGGACACUUUGUGGUGGAGUGCCUAUGAACUACCUUCUAAGAAAGAAAUCAGUGGGACUUUAUACAUUAGUAAGCUUCGUCUAAAAAAAAAAGGGAAUGUAAACUCUACUUUUGAUUUAUAGUAGGUGCGUUUAGGCUACAUGGGGAAAACAAAACUCACCUUACAGGCUGGAGGCAAGGGUCAUAUAAGACAUGUUGAAGGCAUCGGGUGUCUACUAGGCUUUCAAAGAUUGGUUGCCAAUUUCAAUCCUCACGCAUUUCUUCUUUUCUGAAAUUACACAUUUUCACAAUUUUCAGGAAAGGAGGAAUUAAGUAUUCCUGUUUUAUUCUAGAGGAUACUAUGAUUAGGGCCUCAGUAAGCUACCUGGUAAAAUUCUCUCUAAAACUCAAGGAUACUUGAAGCACCUUGAGAAGAAGCUAAAAUAUUGUCUUCUAAUACCAUCAGUACUUACUUGCAUUCAUCAUUUUAUUAGUUGUCUAUAAGGAACACUUACAUGUUAAUCAUAUUAACACUUUGAAUGGCAUAUAAGAAGCAAUAUUUUCCAUGACUUCAAAUAAAUUCUUAUACAUUAGCAUAAGGCCACACCUCAGAGGGAAGUUGUCUCGUAAAAAGUGAGACAUUGGUUGGCAAGUAAAUAGAAUUUGCAGGGUGGCUAAUGUUGGACUGUUUUUCAGCAGGGGAAGAGAAAGAAUAGAGAUGCCCUUAAAAUAAACCAUAUGGGUCUCAAACUAUUCAUGCCACGAAUCAGGUCAGUCAUAUUUCAACCUCCUCCCUCAAGCUUAUCUCAGUGCAACUUAAGGAAGAAAUGGAAAGUACAUUUCCACCAGAAUGCAUGUCUUAUGGAGGGGCAGGGGAGAAGGCAAUUUCAUAACAGUUUCAAACUAAAGUAGUACCCCAAAGCCAGUGAUGUAUUCUGGCCCAGACUUGACAGGUUAUUUUACCUGACCAAGCCUUAUUGUUCCUCUGGAACAAUAAGCAUAUUUUCACACAUUCUAUUUUUAUUUCUCACCAAAUGUGUCAAGACUUGGUUUCUAUUAAUUAAAUUUGUAUAUAAUUGUAGAUAUGCAUGCAGUUGUAAGAAACAAUACAGGGAGAUCCAAUAUACCCUUUGCCCAAUUCCCCCAGUGGUAACACCUUGCAGAUAUUGACAAUGAUACAGUCAAGAUACAGAACAUUUCCAUCACCACAAACAUCCCUUAUGUUGAACUUUUAAAGCCACACUCACUGCCCUCUCCCUCUCCUCUGUCCUUAGCUCCUGGCAACCACACUUGUGUCUCUCUGUUUUGAUAAUUUUGUUAUUUCAAGAAUGUUUUAUAAAUGGUACUAGAUAGUAUACAACUUUUUGAGAUUGAUUUCAUUUUCUCAACAUAAUUUUCUGAAGAGUCAUCAAGGUUGUUGCAUGUAUCAAUAUACUAACAUGCAUGUAUUAACAGCUUAUUCCUUUUCAUUGUUGAGUAGUAUUCCAUGUUUUGGACAUAGCAAGGCUUGUUUAAACAUUCACUAAUUUAAAAAUAUCUUAUUUGUUUCCCAUUUGAGGCUGUUAUGAAUAAAGCUACAAUUAAGAUUUGUGUACAAAUUUUAUGUGAACAUAAACCUUCAUUCUUUUUGGAUAACUGUUGGGUCACAUGGUGCUUGUAUGUUUAGUUAUUUAAGAAACUGCCAAAUUCUUUUCCAAAGUGGCUGAAACAUUUUACAUUACCAUCAGAAAUGUAGGAGUGAUCCAUUUGUCUGCAUCCUUGCAAGUAUUUG